rnacentral:rRNA from 1 species
UGAGGAACAUGACUUUCGGUGGGGGAGUAGCCGGCCCAACGGCCGGGUAAUACCGCGUACGACCACUUGGGGACAUCCCUGAUUGGUGAAAGCAGCAAUGCGCCGAAAGAGUGCCUCGCGGCCUAUCAGCUAGUUGGUGGGGUAAUGGCUCACCAAGGCGACGACGGGUAGCUGGUCUGAGAGGAUGGCCAGCCACAUUGGGACUGAGACACGGCCCAGACUCCUACGGGAGCAG